UACAGAGUAGAAACGAUCGUAAGAGGAAGGGGAAAGAUCUUAAAUUGAAGUGAGGUGGGAAGAUAUGUUUAGAAGAAGCAAGUUUCUCAAUUUCCCAAUGGUCAUUGGAGCAGUCAUAAUUGGAGUUGUUUCUGGGAAGGCCAUUUUCGGACCUCCUCUUGAUGAUUACUGGAAAAAGAAGCUUCAAGAAGAGGCUGCUGCAAAAGAGGAGACCAACUCGGCUUAGAUGAAUGUCUUUAUUAAAAUUUGUCUAAUCUGGUCAUUAAAAAAAAAAAGAGUUUCUCAUCCAUUUAAUCUGUAUUCUAACAUUUGACGGCUUUUCUUGAUGCAAAUCGAGCUAGAUAUGAAUGGAGGAAAAACUGGUAUGCAUCAAAUUAUUUUGUUCGCAGUUCAAGGAUGGAUUCCUUCUUCAUAUUGCUUUUGCUUUCUAAGAGAUGAAAAGAAUAAACAACUUUUGCUGAGCUUCAUUUGUAAUACUCAAUGGAGGUGCCUGUUAUGAUUUAUGUUAUAUUUUGUGCAUACGCCUCCUCUUUUCCACUGCUUGUCUAGUUAAGUAUUCAAAUGUCAAACCCGACCGAAAGUAGGAUAUAUGCUGCAUUGCGAUUUGCAUGAACAAGAAACUGUGUAAUGCUC